rnacentral:rRNA from 1 species
GACGAACGCUGGCGGCGUGCUUAACACAUGCAAGUCGAACGGUAAGGCCCUUCGGGGUACACGAGUGGCGAACGGGUGAGUAACACGUGGGUGAUCUGCCCUGCACUUCGGGAUAAGCCUGGGAAACUGGGUCUAAUACCGGAUAGGACCACUGCCUGCAUGGGUGGUGGUGGAAAGCUUUUGCGGUGUGGGAUGGGCCCGCGGCCUAUCAGCUUGUUGGUGGGGUGAUGGCCUACCAAGGCGACGACGGGUAGCCGGCCUGAGAGGGUGACCGGCCACACUGGGACUGAGAUACGGCCGAGACUCCUACGGGAGGCAGCAGUGGGGAAUAUUGCACAAUGGGCGCAAGCCUGAUGCAGCGACGCCGCGUGAGGGAUGACGGCCUUCGGGUUGUAAACCCCUUUCAGCACCGACGAAGCGCAAGGGACGGUAGGUGCAGAAGAAGGACCGGCCAACUACGUGCCAGCCGCCGCCGUAA